AGAGCUUUCUUGCAUGAGAAAAGAAAAGAAAAGGAGAGAAAAAAAAGAAACAAGUGGGCGCAAGUUUCUUCGGUGAGUACCCUAAGGUUUUGGUCUAGGGUUUGGGAAGUGAGAAUUUGAGCUACGAGUAUCGUGAGCCCACCAAACUUUGGAGAGAGCUUCAACAACCUCUCAAGUGUAUCUGCUAAUGAUUCAGAGCAUCCAAAGAGUCGGC
rnacentral:lncRNA from 1 species